rnacentral:rRNA from 1 species
UACGUAGGGGGCUAGCGUUGUCCGGAAUCAUUGGGCGUAAAGAGCUCGUAGGCGGCUCGGUAAGUCGGGUGUGAAACCCCCAGGCUCAACCUGGGGACGCCACCCGAUACUGCUGUGGCUAGAGUCCAGUAGGGGAGUGUGGAAUUCCCGGUGUAGCGGUGAAAUGCGCAGAUAUCGGGAGGAACACCAGCGGCGAAGGCGGCACUCUGGGCUGGAACUGACGCUGAGGAGCGAAAGCGUGGGUAGCAAACAGG